rnacentral:rRNA from 1 species
GACGAACGCUGGCGGCGUGCCUAAUACAUGCAAGUCGAACGCAGUGGGGACGGGUGAGUAACACGUGUGUAACCUCCCCCUCAGAGGGGAUAACACUUUGAAACAGGUGCUAAACCGAUAUUUAUGGAUGGACCCGCGGUGCAUUAGCUAGUUGGUGAGGUAACGGCUCACCAAGGCCACGAUGCAUAGCCGACCGGAGAGGGGGAUCGGCCACACUGGGACUGAGACACGGCCCAGACUCCUACGGGAGGCAGCAGUAGGGAAUCUUCGGCAAUGGACGAAAGUCUGACCGAGAAACGCCGCGUGAGUGAAGAAGGUUUUCGGAUCGUAAAACUCGGUUGUUAGAGAAGCGGUAACUAACCAGAAAGCCACGGCUAACUACGUGCCAGCAGCCGCGGUAAUUC